UACGGAGGGGGCUAGCGUUGUUCGGAAUUACUGGGCGUAAAGCGCACGUAGGCGGCUUUGCAAGUUAGAGGUGAAAGCCCGGGGCUCAACUCCGGAAUUGCCUUUAAAACUGCAUCGCUAGAAUUGUGGAGAGGUAAGUGGAAUUCCGAGUGUAGAGGUGAAAUUCGUAGAUAUUCGGAAGAACACCAGUGGCGAAGGCGGCUCACUGGACCGGCAUUGACGCUGAGGUGCGAAAGCGUGGGGAGCAAACAGGG
rnacentral:rRNA from 1 species